rnacentral:rRNA from 1 species
GGGUCGAUGAUAGAACGCAGCUAGCUACGAUAAACGGUGCGAAUCGCUAGAUACGCCGAGCACUUGAACUUCCAACGCACAUUGCGGCUUUCGGUUCAUUCCGAAGUCACAUCUGUUCGAGAGUUGAGAAGAUUCAAUAUGCAACUAUACAUUCAAGAUAGGUAGAGGGCCAAUGCCUAUGAUGUAUAGCGGUUACAACACUAUGGACUGGAAUGGGGAUGGAUGUGUGUGUCUGUACGACGUUAUUUAUAGCCCGUGCAGCAUACCUAAGUCUUGCCAUACCUUUACACAGUGAUACCGGGAUAUUAUAAUCCUUUUCUUGGGAGCCGGGUAAAACCGGUGACCUAGUAAGGAGAAGUAUCGAUAAUGUGAUCAACACACCAAACACGCUUGUGAACAAGGUGAACGCAACUAGGUUCUGCAGUAGUGCAGUAGCAGCAUAUCAGCUUACAGUUGGUAUCAAGUAUUACACUGGCAGGGGGCGUGAGAAGUUCGACAAUCUGCCGACGCUUAAGUCGUACCGCUGGAUUGAUAUGUCGCGAAGAAAAGACUUCUCGCCUGGCGUGGUCUCGAUUGCAAUUUAAGGUGUAAUACAGUCUGCUUUCCGGUGGUCAAACAUCGGGCUGUCGCAGGGCUUCACCGUUUAGUAGCCUUAAGUAACAUACACAGUGUUUGGAGUACAUGUGUCUCAUUGUCCC